CUGAGUUCCACCUCAGGUGCGCCGGAAGCCUGCUACACUGUUGCUCCUCACCCCAGAGACCUUUUCCUCAGCAAGGACAGUCUCUCGGGCCCUGCUCCCCAGUUUCCACCCUGUAUCCAUUGCAUCAGAUCUCUAGCAGGAAGGGGUGAAGUAUUGAUAACCAAGAGGACCCCAGUGCCUUCCCCUAAUCACAAGGCCACAGCAGCCAUGCUGAUAACCCACCUCUGGAGGAGAAGCCAGCACCUCCCACAGUAUCCUCGGCAGCCACCCCAGAUGGUGGCUUUAUGGAACCUUACUGUGUGAAAAGGGAAGAGCUUGUGUGCUUCGCCUGAAAGGGGUUGAGGGUGGGGGUGGUCUGAGCCUCUGUGGUUGCACAUUCUGGCCCCAGAUAACACACAAAGGGGCUUGGCAUGUCUUCUCCGAUUCUAUGAAAACCCCAGCAGGAAAACUGUUGUCCCCAUGAAAUUAGGUGAGACUUGGAGACACGGAGGACCAAGAAGGCCUGGAGAACACAGGGUCUGAGCCAAAAGCUCAAAGCAAAAAUGAGCUUAAAAAAAGGUUUGGUCGGUGGCUUAGUUCCUGGGAGCUCUGGGAGGUCUGGUUGGUUGAUAUUGUUGUUCUUCCUAUGGAGUUGCAAACCCCUUCAGCUCCUUCAGUCCUUUCUCUAACUCCUCCACUGGGGAUCCCAUUCUUUGUUCAAUGGUUGGCUGCAAGCAUCCGCCUCUGUAUUUGUCAGGUUCUGGCACAGCCUCUCAGGAGACAGCUAUAACAGGCUCCUCUUAGCAUGUACCUCUUGGCAUCUGCAAUAGUGUCUGGGCUUGGUGUUUGUAUAUGGGAUGGAUCCCCAGGUGGGGCAGUCUCUGGAUGGCCUUUCCUUCAGUCUCUGCUCCACACUCUGUCCCUGUAUUUCCUUUAGACAGGAGCCAUUCUGGGUUAAAAACUUGGAGACGAGUGGGUGGCCCCAUCCCACAACCAGGGGCCUUGCCUAACCUCUGGAUAUGGUCUCUACAGGUUCUCCCUUCCCUUUAUUGGGCCUUUCAGCUAAUCUCAUCCCUGUUGGGUCCUGGGAGCCUCUUGCUUUCCUGGCAUUUUGGACUUGCUGAUGGCUACCCCCAGUUCCCCAUCCCCCAUUGCUACACACCUCUGUUCAAAUUCCUAACCCUCUUUAUAUCAUCCCGUCUCCUCCCAUACCUGAUCCUGCCCCCUUUUUAUCCCCUUUCCCUUCUCUCUUCCUCCCAAGUUGUUUCCACCCUCUACCUCCCUUGAGUAUUUUCCCCCUUCUAAGAAAGACUGAAGCAUCCACAUUUAAGACUUCCUCCUUCUUGAGUUUCAUGUGGUCUGUGAAUUGUAUCUUGGGUAUUCCAAGUCUCUGGGCCAAUAUCCACUUAUCAGUGAGUGCACACCAUGUGUGUUCUUUUGUGAUUGGGUUACCUCACUCAGGAUGAUAUUUUCUAGUUCCACCCGUUUGCCCAAGAAUUUCAUGAGGUCAUUGUUUCUGAUAGCUGAAUGGUACUCCAUUGUGUAGAUAUACCACAUUUUCUGUAUCCAUUCCUCUGUUGAAGGACAUCUGGGUUCUUUCCAGCUUCUGGCUAUUAUAAAUAAGGCUACUAUGAACAUAGUGGAGCAUGUGUCCUUGUUAUAUGUUGGAGCAUCUUUUGGAUGUAUGCCCAGGAGAGGUAUAGCUGGGUCCUCAGGUAGUACUGUGUCCAAUUUUCUGAGGAACUGCCAGGCUGAUUUCCAGAGUGGUUGUACCAGCUUGCAAUCCCACCAACAAUGGAGGAGUGUUCCUCUUUGUCUACAUCCUCGCCAACAUCUGCUGUCACCUGAGUUUUUGAUCUUAGCCAUUCUGACUGGUGUGAGGUAGAAUCUCAGGGUUGUUUUGACUUGCAUUUCCCUGGUGGCUAAAGGACGUUGAACAUUUUAGGUGCUUCUCCGCCGUUCAAUAUUCCUCAGUUGAGAAUUCUUUGUUUAGCUCUGAACCCCAUUUUUAAUAGUGUUAUUUGGUUCUCUGGAGUCCUACUUCUUGAGUUCUUUGUAUAUAUUGGAUAUUAGCCCUCUAUCGGAUGUAGGAUUGGUAAAGAUCUUUUCCUAAUCAACCAAAGAAUACACACGGAGGGCUUCAUAUGUAGUAGAGGAUGGCCUUGCCUGGCUUCAGUAGGAGGAGAAACCCUUGAAUCCUGUGAAGGCUGGAUUCCCCAGUGUAGGGGAAUGCCAGGUUGGUGAGGUGGGAGUGGGUGAGUGGUAAGGGGAGCACCCUCACAGAAGCAGGGAGAUGGGGGAAUGGAUAGGUAGGUUCCGGAGGGGAGUCCGGGAAAGAGGAUAACAUUUGAAAUGUAAAUACAUAAAAUAUCCAAUUAAAAAUAAUCAAAAUUAGAUAUCUUAGAGUUUGAAAUUCAAGGAUUUCACAACGAAGGCAAGGACAGAGCCAUGUUAACUCCCUCUUUCCCUCCCAGCUUCAGGUAGUUCUUGACUAAAGAAUAAAUCCUGUCCUCCACAGUCAAAAAAAAAAAAGUUAGGUUUGUCCACCCAGCAUGGUGGCACAUGCCUGUAAUGGGUGGGCUGAGGAAGGAGGGUUGAUAGGACGGAGCCCUGAGCUAUAUAGCAAGACCCCACCUCAAAAAAAAAAAAAAGUAAAUCCUUUUUUUAUUAAAAGUAAUAAAACAUUUACUUCAAAGCUAGGUUUGUUCCUUUACUCCCACACACCCAUGCUUAGCUGAUGCCCACUCGGUGGGUCCCCGGGGAGACAAGUUGCUCAUUUGAGUGGUGUGAGAAAUUCAUUGGAGUGUUUCCAAGGAUGGGGAUGCAUUUCGAAAGAAAUUACUUGAUUACUCAGGAAAAGGUGUGACAGCCACGGAAGUCCUGUCAGGAAGCAGAGGAGGCACAUCUGGUAAUAGGACAUAAUUUCUUUAUGCAAAUGAGGCUCGGGGUCCUCAGGAAAGACGCUUCCCCACUUCCUGUGGGGAAGGGCUGUCCCACCAUCCACGCACAGCAGGAAGGUAUUUACUCUCCCCUCAGAAGCAAGUGCUCACCGGGUCUCAGGGAGGACCCGGCUGCUAGAAGCUCCCAAAUUACCAUCUCUGCCGUCCCAGGUAGAAGCUUAUUUUAUGUCUAAAUCUUUUGUUGGGGUGGGACUUGAAGUGGCUAAAAGGUCUUAUGGGAGAAGCAGAUGUUGUUGUGUGGGGAGGGUGAUCAAACUCUAAAUGUAGGGGAAGAAAGGUGAUGGUGGGGUGUGGGAAGAGUAAGUGCGCUAAAGAAAGUCAUGGGAAUGCCUCAAGUUGAGCAGAGCUCCCCCCUCCCCCAUGGUCUAACUCUAUCAUUUUGGUUCCUCUGUAGGGGACUGCCCGGGAGGGAGAGCUGACCUGGUGCACCGGAGGUGCCUCUAGGUACCGGACAACAGGUCAAUUCAGAGCAGCGGUUCUCAAUCUGUGGGUUUCCACCUCUUUGGGUGAUGGUCAAAUGACCCUUGAAAAGGGGUCAUCUAAAACCAUGGAAAAGUACAGGUCCUUGCGUUAUGAUUCAUAACAGUAACAAAAUUCCAGUUACAAAGCAGCAACGAACAUAACUUUAUGGGUCACCACAACAUGAGGAACUGCGUUAAAGGGCCAUGGCAUCGGGAAGGUUAAAAACCACUAAUUUAGACUGUUCCAAGGAGGAGCCAAUGAAUACAGUAACAAUCCUUUACAUACACUCUUUGUCUGCAGGGGACACACUCCAAGACCCCCAGUGGGUGCCUGAAGCCACACACAGCACUAAGCCCUAUAGACCUAUAUUUUGUUACUUUAAGAGACUUGCGGAAUAGUAAAGAUGGAUUAAAACAGGGCCAGAGAGAUGGCUCAGGUGCUUGCUACAAGCCUUGAGGACCUACCUGAGUUCAAUCCCUGGGAUUCGUAUGGUGGAAAGAGGGAACCAACUCCUUUAAGUUGACCUCUGACAUCCAGACAUGUACCACAGGACAUUCAUACCUACUAACAUAGAGGUGCACGCAAAAUAAAAGAUAACUUUUUUUUUAAAAAAGUAAAAAGAAGGGGUUGGGGAUUUAGCUCAGUGGUAGAGCGCUUGCCUAGGAAGCGCAAGGCCCUGGGUUCGGUCCCCAGCUCCGAAAAAAAGAACCAAAAAAAAAAAAAAAAAAAAAGUAAAAAGAAAUAGAACAAUUAUAACAUGUAAAAAGCUACAUAUUUACAUAUAUACAUAUAUAAUUAUAUAUUCAUACAUACAGUCAUAUAUACAUACUUACAUAUGUUCACACAUACAUAUAUACAUUCAUACAUACUUUCAUAAUACAUACAUAUAUACAUUUAACAUACUUAAAUUAAUUGCCUGAUUUUGAAACAAGAUCUCUCUCUAUAUAUAUAACCCAGGCAUCUCAGAACUCACCAUCCCCCUGCCUCUACCACUGAGUGCUAGGAUGGCAGGUGUGUACCACUACACUUGACUAUGGAUAUAUAUUUUUAUUUUUAAUUUGAGACAGGGUUUCUCUGUGUAGCUCUGGCUGUCCUGAAACUCUGUAGACCAAGUUGGCCUUGAACUCACAGAAAUCCUCCUGCCUCUGCCUCCCCAAGUACUAGAAUACCUCUGCCCUGCUUGGAGUUUCUUUUUUUUUUUUAAUUAAUUUUUAUUUAUAUGAAUACACUGUAGCUGUCUUUAGACACACCAGAAGAGGGCAUCAGAUCUCAUUACAGAUGGUUGUGAGCCACCAUGUGGUUGCUGGGAAUUGAACUCAGGACCUCUGGAAGAGCAGUCAGUGCUCCUAACCACUGAGCCAUUUCUCCAGCCCCGUGGAGUUUCUAAUCUGAAUAAUUUUACAUAGAGUGAAACAGAUGGAGAAAGAGAACAGCUUGUGUCCACGUACCAGUAUUAAGAGGCAAUAGGAGGAUGCGGGAGUGAUCCCCAGUGGUUGGGAGAACUUGCUGCUCUUUAGUUCAAUGGUCUGCACCCACACAGCAGCUCACAACUAUCCUCUGGUCCCAGGGCAUCCAACCUCCUCUUCUGGCCUCUGCGUGCAGCAAGACACAGUGCACAUACAUGUAUGUAGGCACUCACAUAUAUACACAUGACAUAACUCUUUUUUUUUUAAGAGAGGUUCUUAUUAAUGACCUGUUUAUUUUUAUGUGCACAGGUGUUUUGUGAGCUGUCAUGUGGUUGUUGGGAAUUGAACCUGGGUCCUCUGGAAGAGCAACCAGUGCUCUUAACUGCUGAGCCAUCUCUCAAGCCUGAGAGAGAGAGAUUAAUAUGAGUGGCUCACAGCAUUAGGAACACUCGGAAAUCAAUCAUGCCAUCCUCUCUUUGCAGGCAAGAGGCUCAGUGGAGCUAGGAUCAGGUCUGGGAGUCCCCCAUGAGUCCUGGUUCAAGUACAAAUGUCAGGACUGGGAGAGGAAGGCAUGGGGGGGGGCAGGGCGUAAGUCCUGGUUGGGGCACGAGCCUCAGAGCUGAAAGUGCAGCAUGCACCUGUUGCCCCUCAAGCACAGAAGCACAGAACCAGUUUGCACUCCCUUACCCUUCCUUUCUUCCCACUUUCAUAGAUGAGUCAGCCGAUGUCCUUUUCCAUACCCAGCUAUCAGGACUGUCCAUCUAUCUGGCCAUCAGUCUCGCCCAGUGAACAGAGAUUAAACCCCUCUCACACCCGGUGUAUGGAGGCCAGUAUCAGCUGGCCAUGGCUUUCUAGGAAGUGAUGUUGACUUCUGGCUGUAGUUAAUUUUUUUUUUUUUUGGUUCUUUUUUUUUUUUUCGGAGCUGGGGACCGAACCCAGGGCCUUGCGCUGGCUGUAGUUAAAUCUGCACAUAUCUGCACUGGGGCUUUCUCCCCGGCAAAGAACUGGAGGAUACAUAUUUAAUGUUGAAAAUGACUUGGAAAACCGGGGAUGGUGGGGCUUGACUGUAUUCCCAGAAUUCAAGAGGCUAAGGAGAGAGGUUUGUGGAUUUCAGGCUAGCCUGGGUACAGUGAAACUCUGCCCUGUCCCCACCCACAUUCCCAUCCUCAAAACAAAAGCAGACAAGACAAAACGGACUUGAAAAAUAAAGGCAGAAUUUGUUCUUUCUUCCUGUAUUUAUUAUAUUUAUUAUUUCAUUUUUCUUAUCUCACUGUAUACCUCUGGCUGGCCUCAAGCUGUGUGGACCAGGCUGGUCUUGAACUCAGAACUCACAAGGAUCUGCUGCCUCUAUCUCCAGAGUGCUGGGAUUAAUAUGUGCCACCACGUCUGGGCAAAUAUCAGAAUUUUUCAACAGUAGUCCUGUCUUGGCAGAACAUUUUGGGACACUCACUAUAACUUCUUUAUCUUGGCCCAGACAUGAUUAAAACUUACAAGGUUGGGGUUGGGGAUUUAGCUCAGUGGUAGAGCGCUUGCCUGGCAAGCGCAAGGCCCUGGGUUCAGUCCCAGCUCUGAAAAAAAAAAAAAAAAAGAAAAAAAAAAAGAAAAGAAAAA